rnacentral:rRNA from 1 species
UACGAAGGGGGCUAGCGUUGCUCGGAAUUACUGGGCGUAAAGCGCACGUAGGCGGAUUGUUAAGUCGGGGGUGAAAUCCUGGAGCUCAACUCCAGAACUGCCUUCGAAACUGGCGAUCUUGAGUCCGGGAGAGGUGAGUGGAACUGCGAGUGUAGAGGUGAAAUUCGUAGAUAUCAAGCGGAACACCGGUGGCGAAGGCGGCCUUCUGGACAGUGACUGACGCUGAGACGCAAAAGCGUGGGGAGCAAACAGG